rnacentral:rRNA from 1 species
CCUACGGGUGGCAGCAGUAGGGAAUAUUGGACAAUGGGGGGAACCCUGAUCCAGCAACGCCGCGUGGGGGAAGAAGUAUUUCGGAUUGUAAAGCUCUAUCGGCAGGGAAGAAAAUGACGGUACCUAACGAAUAAGCACCGGCUAACUCCGUGCCAGCAGCCGCGGUAAUACGUAGGGGGCAAGCGUUAUUCGGAUUUACUGGGUGUAAAGAGAGCGUAGGCGGGGUAGCAAGUCCGAUGUGAAAGGUCAGGGCUUAACCCCAGGACUGCAUUUGAAACUGUUGAACUGGAGUACAGGAGAGGUAAGUGGAAUUCCUAGUGUAGGGGUGAAAUCCGUAGAGAUCAGGAGGAAUACUAGUGGCGAAGGCGGCUUACUAGAACGUAACUGACGCUGAGGCGCGAAAGCGUGGGGAGCAAACAGGAUUAGAUACCCUAGUAGUC